rnacentral:rRNA from 1 species
CCUACGGGAGACAGCAGUGAGGAAUAUUGGUCAAUGGACGAGAGUCUGAACCAGCCAAGUAGCGUGAAGGAUGACUGCCCUAUGGGUUGUAAACUUCUUUUAUAUGGGAAUAAAAUGUUCCACGUGUGGGAUUUUGUAUGUACCAUAUGAAUAAGGAUCGGCUAACUCCGUGCCAGCAGCCGCGGUAAUACGGAGGAUCCGAGCGUUAUCCGGAUUUAUUGGGUUUAAAGGGAGCGUAGGUGGAUUGUUAAGUCAGUUGUGAAAGUUUGCGGCUCAACCGUAAAAUUGCAGUUGAAACUGGCAGUCUUGAGUGCAGUAGAGGUGGGCGGAAUUCGUGGUGUAGCGGUGAAAUGCUUAGAUAUCACGAAGAACUCCGAUUGCGAAGGCAGUUCACUGGACUGCAACUGACACUGAGGCUCGAAAGUGUGGGUAUCAAACAGGAAUAGAUACCCGAGUAGUC